rnacentral:tRNA from 1 species
UCUGUAGCUCAGUAGGUAGAGCAGGGGACUGAAAAUCCCCGUGUCGUUGGUUCGAUUCCGACCGGA